rfam:Myotis davidii contig113715, whole genome shotgun sequence.
GCCGGUGCGGCUCAGUGGUUGAGCAUCAACCUAUGAAGCAGGAGGUCAGGGUUCGAUUCCCUGUCAGGGCA